GAUUGAAGAGACACUGAAAGAGCGGGGUGCACAAAACUUGUUGGCAUGUAGCCCCACAAGGAUGACAUGGAACCAUUGUUUUUCAUUUUGAUCCGGACCGGACUGGACCCCCCGAAAGGAGGG